rnacentral:rRNA from 1 species
AUUGAACGCUGGCGGCAGGCCUAACACAUGCAAGUCGAACGAGGGACGGACGGGGGCGUAAUGUCUGGGAAACUGCCCGAUAGAGGGGGAUCACUACUGGAAAAGGUAGCUAAUACCGCGUACAAUCCGAUUUCCCCAGUUGGGAUUGGCUGGUGGGUGGGGUAACGGCUCACCAAGUGGACGAUCCCUAGCUGGUCUGAGAGGAUGACCAGCCACACUGGAACUGAGACACGGUCCAGACUCCUACGGGAGGCAGCAGUGGGGAAUAUUGCACAAUGGGCGCAAGUCUGAUGCAGCAAUGCCGCGUGUAUGAAGAAGGCCUUCGGGUUGUAAAGUACUUUCAGCGGGGAGGCGUUACCCGCAGAAGAAGCACCGGCUAACUCCGUGCCAGCAGCCGCGGUAAUAC